UCGGGUUGUAAAGCACUUUUGUCCGGAAAGAAAACGCUCUGGUUAAUACCCGGGGCGGAUGACGGUACCGGAAGAAUAAGCACCGGCUAACUACGUGCCAGCGGCCGCGGUAAUACGUAGGGUGCAAGCGUUAAUCGGAAUUACUGGGCGUAAAGCGUGCGCAGGCGGUCCGCUAAGACAGAUGUGAAAUCCCCGGGCUUAACCUGGGAACUGCAUUUGUGACUGGCGGGCUAGAGUAUGGCAGAGGGGGGUAGAAUUCCACGUGUAGCAGUGAAAUGCGUAGAGAUGUGGAGGAAUACCGAUGGCGAAGGCAGCCCCCUGGGCCAAUACUGACGCUCAUGCACGAAAGCGUGGGGAGCAAGCAGGAUUAGAUACCCUGGUAGUCCACGCCCUAAACGAUGCCAACUAGUUGUCGGGUCUUCAUUGACUUGGUAACGAAGCUAACGCGUGAAGUUGACCGCCUGGGGAGUACGGUCGCAAGAUUAAAACUCAAAGGAAUUGACGGGGACCCGCACAAGCGGUGGAUGAUGUGGAUUAAUUCGAUGCAACGCGAAAAACCUUACCUACCCUUGACAUGGUCGGAACCCUGCUG
rnacentral:rRNA from 1 species